GGGUUGUGAGGUUAAGCGACUAAGCGUACACGGUGGAUGCCCUGGCAGUCAGAGGCGAUGAAGGGCGUGCUAAUCUGCGAUAAGCGCCGGUAAGGUGAUAUGAACCGUUAUAACCGGCGAUACCCGAAUGGGGAAACCCAGUGUGACUCGUCACACUAUCAUUAACUGAAUCCAUAGGUUAAUGAGGCGAACCGGGGGAACUGAAACAUCUAAGUACCCCGAGGAAAAGAAAUCAACCGAGAUUCCCCCAGUAGCGGCGAGCGAACGGGGAGGAGCCCAGAGCCUGAAUCAGCAUAUGUGUUAGUGGAAGCGUCUGGAAAGGCGCGCGAUACAGGGUGACAGCCCCGUACACAAAAGCGCAUGUGCUGUGAGCUCGAUGAGUAGGGCGGGACACGUGGUAUCCUGUCUGAAUAUGGGGGGACCAUCCUCCAAGGCUAAAUACUCCUGACUGACCGAUAGUGAACCAGUACCGUGAGGGAAAGGCGAAAAGAACCCCGGCGAGGGGAGUGAAAAAGAACCUGAAACCGUGUACGUACAAGCAGUGGGAGCCCCACCACUAAGCCAGUGGUGAACUCCACAUACGCAUCCUUUGCUGAGGAUACGGUUAACGGAGCGAAAGCGACGUUCAACCUCAAAAGAAGCAGAGGGGGCUUAGUGGUGGGGUGACUGCGUACCUUUUGUAUAAUGGGUCAGCGACUUAUAUUCUGUAGCAAGGUUAACCGAAUAGGGGAGCCGGAGGGAAACCGAGUCUUAAUUGGGCGUUAAGUUGCAGGGUAUAGACCCGAAACCCGGUGAUCUAGCCAUGGGCAGGUUGAAGGUUGGGUAACACUAACUGGAGGACCGAACCGACUAAUGUUGAAAAAUUAGCGGAUGACCUGUGGCUGGGGGUGAAAGGCCAAUCAAACCGGGAGAUAGCUGGUUCUCCCCGAAAGCUAUUUAGGUAGC
rnacentral:rRNA from 1 species